rnacentral:tRNA from 1 species
GUGCCCGUAGCUCAGCUGGAUAGAGCGUCAGUUUGCGGAACUGAAGGUCGUACGUUCGAAUCGUAUCGGGCACACCA